GACGAACGCUGGCGGCGUGCUUAACACAUGCAAGUCGAACGAAAAUACCAAGCUUGCUUGGUUGAUUAGUGGCGAACGGGUGAGUAACACGUGAGUAACCUGCCCCUUACUUUCCUGGAUAACUGCUCGAAAGGGUAGCUAAUACGGGAUAUUCUGGCCUUCCUGCAUGGGUUGGUUUGGAAAGGUUGUUUUUUCUGGUAAGGGAUGGGCUCGCGGCCUAUCAGCUUGUUGGUGGGGUGAUGGCCUACCAAGGCUUUGACGGGUAGCCGGCCUGAGAGGGUGGACGGUCACACUGGGACUGACAUCCGGCCCAGACUCCUACGGGAGGCAGCAGUGGGGAAUAUUGCACAAUGGGCGCAAGCCUGAUGCAGCGACGCCGCGUGAGGGAUGAAGGCCUUCGGGUUGUAAACCUCUUUCGUCAGGGAACAAGGCACUGCUUUUGGUGGUGUUGAGGGUACCUGGAUAAGAAGCGCCGGCUAACUACGUGCCAGCAGCCGCGGUAAUACGUAGGGCGCAAGCGUUGUCCGGAAUUAUUGGGCGUAAAGAGCUCGUAGGCGGCUGGUCGCGUCUGUCGUGAAAACUUCCGGCUCAACCGGGGGCUUGCGGUGGGUACGGGCCGGCUAGAGUGCGGUAGGGGUAACUGGAACUCCUGGUGUAGCGGUGGAAUGCGCAGAUAUCAGGAAGAACACCGAUGGCGAAGGCAGGUUACUGGGCCGUUACUGACGCUGAGGAGCGAAAGCGUGGGGAGCGAACAGG
rnacentral:rRNA from 1 species